ACGGCAGCAUAGAGAGCUUGCUCUCUGAUGGCGAGUGGCGAACGGGUGAGUAAUAUAUCGGAACGUGCCUAGUAAUGGGGAACAACUAGCUGAAAGGUUAGCUAAUACCGCAUACGACCUACGGGUGAAAGCAGGGGAUCUUCGGACCUUGCGUUAUUAGAGCGGCCGAUAUCUGAUUAGCUUGUUGGUGGGGUAAUGGCCUACCAAGGCGACGAUCAGUAGCUGGUCUGAGAGGACGAUCAGCCACACUGGAACUGAGACACGGUCCAGACUCCUACGGGAGGCAGCAGUGGGGAAUUUUGCACAAUGGGGGAAACCCUGAUGCAGCCAUUCCGCGUGAGUGAAGAAGGCCUUCGGGUUGUAAAGCUCUUUCGCAAGAGAAGAAAACUUAUAAUCUAAUAUAUUGUAAGCAUGACGGUAUCUUGAUAAGAAGCACCGGCUAACUACGUGCCAGCAGCCGCGGUAAU
rnacentral:rRNA from 1 species